UACGUAGGGGGCAAGCGUUGUCCGGAUUUAUUGGGCGUAAAGAGCGUGUAGGCGGCCAGACAGGUCCGUUGUGAAAACUCGAGGCUCAACCUCGAGACGCCGAUGGAAACCGUCUGGCUAGAGUCCGGAAGAGGAGAGUGGAAUUCCUGGUGUAGCGGUGAAAUGCGCAGAUAUCAGGAAGAACACCCGUGGCGAAGGCGGCUCACUGGCCCGGUACUGACGCUGAGGUGCGAAAGCGUGGGGAGCAAACAGG
rnacentral:rRNA from 1 species